UACAGAGGGUGCGAGCGUUAAUCGGAUUUAUUGGGCGUAAAGGGCGUGUAGGCGGUUCGUUAAGUCUGAUGUGAAAGCCCCGGGCUCAACCCGGGAAGUGCAUUGGAAACUGGCGAACUUGAGUACGGGAGAGGGCAGUGGAAUUCCUAGUGUAGGAGUGAAAUCCGUAGAUAUUAGGAGGAACACCGGUGGCGAAGGCGGCUGCCUGGACCGAUACUGACGCUGAGACGCGAAAGCGUGGGGAGCAAACAGG
rnacentral:rRNA from 1 species